rnacentral:rRNA from 1 species
GGAUGAAUGCUGGCGGCGUGCCUAACACAUGCAAGUCGAGCGGCAGCGCGAGUAGUUUACUACUUGGCGGCGAGCGGCGGACGGCUGAGUAACGCGUAGGAACGUGCCCCAAAGUGAGGAAUAAGCUCCAGAAAUGGAGUCUAAUGCCGCAUAUGAUCUUCGGAUUAAAGUAUUUAUACGCUUUGGGAGCGGCCUGCGUUAGAUUAGGUAGUUGGUGAGGUAAUGGCUCACCAAGCCUACGAUCUAUAGCUGGUCUGAGAGGAUGAUCAGCCAGACUGGAACUGAGACACGGUCCAGACUCCUACGGGAGGCAGCAGUGAGGAAUCUUCCACAAUGGGCGAAAGCCUGAUGGAGCAACGCCGCGUGCAGGAUGAAGGCCCUAGGGUCGUAAACUGCUUUUAUAAGUGAAGAAUAUGACGGUAACUUAUGAAUAAGCACCGGCUAACUACGUGCCAGCAGCCGCGGUCAUACGUAGGGUGCAAGCAUUAUCCGGAGUGACUGGGCGUAAAGAGUUGCGUAGGUGGUUUGUUAAGUGAAUAGUGAAAUCUGGCGGCUCAACCGUACAGGCUAUUAUUCAUACUGGCAAACUCGAGAAUGGUAGAGGUAACUGGAAUUUCUUGUGUAGGAGUGAAAUCCGUAGAUAUAAGAAGGAACACCAAUGGCGUAGGCAGGUUACUGGACCAUUUCUGACACUGAGGCACGAAAGCGUGGGGAGCGAACGGGAUUAGAUACCCCGGUAGUCCACGCCGUAAACUAUGGAUACUAGCUGUUGGAGGUAUCGACCCCUCCAGUAGCGAAGCUAACGCGUUAAGUAUCCCGCCUGUGGAGUACGGUCGCAAGACUAAAACAUAAAGGAAUUGACGGGGACCCGCACAAGCGGUGGAUUGUGUUCUUUAAUUCGAUGAUAAACGGAGAACCUUACCAGGGUUUGACAUCCCAAGAAUUAUGCCGAAAGGCGUGAGUGCUUUAUUGAACUUGGUGACAGGUGAUGCAUGGCCGUCGUCAGCUCGUGUCGUGAGAUGUUUGGUUAAGUCCAUCAACGAGCGCAACCCUUGUGAAUAGUUGUAUUUUUCUAUUCAGACUGCCCCGGCAACGGGGAGGAAGGAGGGGAUGAUGUCAGGUCAGUAUUUCCCUUACAUCCUGGGCUAGAAACGCAAUACAAUGGCCAGUAUAAUGCGCAGCGAAGCCGCGAGGUGAAGCAAAUCGCAUCAAAGCUGGUCCCAGUUCGGAUAAGAGGCUGAAACUCGCCUCUUUGAAGUCGGAAUCGCUAGUAAUCGCAGAUCAGCAAGCUGCGGUGAAUACGUUCCCGGGUCU